rnacentral:misc_RNA from 1 species
GGCCAACCCAACAAAAGGUCCUGAAGACAAUAAUUGAAACUAUAUGCCUUCCCCCAUCUUCUAACUUUACUCUGUGCUCAACUAGUAGUAACCAACUUGAAUGGCCAUAGAUAGUGUUAGUGAAAAAAUAAUCAGCUAACAGGGUUUUGCUAUUUCUUAGACCCAUAAAGGUUGGGAUCAGUUUCAUAAUAUACUACAUUCCCUGUGUCACUCACAAAGUGAUCCUCCUUCAUGCUUCUUAUCAGAUAUCCCAACAAGUAAAAUGGUAGAGGCCCUGACUUCUUUGGCUCCUUAUAAUAUUUCCCUAACACUGGUUUAGCAGCUUCAGUUGCUUCU